CCUCUGUUUUGUCUCCAUCGAGAAGGAAGGAAUACGCGAUAUAUAUAUAUAUAUACACACACACACACACACACCUACAUACAUACGUAACGAUUCCAAAACACGACUCGGCUUCCUCCUCUUUUUCUCUCUCUAGAUUGGUAUCAGCAUGAUGAUGUAUGCAGUUCAGAUUUAGGGUUUGUGAAUUGUUCUGAUUCUUCUGAUUCCAUUGUUUUUCCCAAUUUAUUUAUUUAUUUAUCGACAAAACAAACAAUGCUUUCGUGGAAGGAGAAGGUAUCGGAGAAGAUCUCCCACCUCUUCUCUGAUUCGUCGGAUCCUCAUUCUCCGGCAGCUCUCCGCAAUUCUCAGGUCAGGUCAUACUCCCAGGGAAAAUCAUUUUCUUCGAUGUUUUCCUACAUUCUCCCCUCCUCAAGCUUUGAUAGCUCCAGAUCUGACAAGGAUAGGGAUGAUAACUUGCCAAUUCAAUCACCUUCUGUUAAAUGGAACAGUCCAACUACAUAUCAACCCUUGGAUAGGGAUGAUAAGGAAUUUGAUCAUGCAUGUGAGAACAAAGAAACUCCAAUCUCUCACAGGGAAGAUCGAGAACAUGGGUCUGGAAGGAGUAUUGAAUGUGAGAACAAGGGACCUCUAAGGAGUAUUAAAUGUGAGAACAAGGGAAUUAACCAUGAAGUUGAAGACCCGGGCUCUUGGAGAAGCACCAGCAGUUCAGACAUGUUUGAAGAUGCUACGGACCAACAUGACGGGGAGAGCGCUAUGCCUUACCUCACUGAGGAAUCUUCUUUUAUUUCUGCAAAUUUGUAUGAGUUUCUUCUGUCUGCCCUUCCUAAUAUAGUGAAAGGUUGUCAAUGGGUCCUGUUGUAUAGUACGGUAAAACAUGGUAUAUCACUCCGUACACUUAUUCGUAGAAGUGCUGAUCUCCCUGGUCCUUGUUUGCUGAUUGUUGGAGAUAAGCGUGGUGCUGUGUUUGGUGGGCUUCUAGAGUGUCCUCUUAAGCCUACCCCAAAGAGAAAGUAUCAGGGGACAAACCAAACAUUUGUGUUUACAACUAUUUACGGUGCCCCAAGGUUAUUUAGGCCAACUGGUGCCAAUCGGUAUUUUUACUUGUGUUUAAACGACUUACUCGCGCUUGGUGGAGGAGGAAACUUUGCUUUAUGCUUAGAUGGAGAUCUGAUGAAUGGAACAAGUGGACCUUGUGAAACAUUUGGGAACCUAAGCCUGGCCCAUAGCCAAGAGUUUGAAUUGAAGAAUGUUGAGUUAAGAAAUGGAUAGCUAGAAGACAUAGACAAGAGAAAAGGCUAAAGAGAUAUCAGGAAUGGAACUUUUGUAUUGUAGAUGGAAAUGGUUUCAACUUAUAUGCAUCUUCUAAGGAUAAAGCUGGAAAAGACAGGCAUAUUGUACACAACUUCAGAAGAACUUUGCUAUACACAAUACUUUUCUCAGCAUUGGUUCUUCAAUCUCUUCCUUUCUUGAAAGGGAAAGUGAGAAGACAUGUUUAACAGUGUCUAUUCAGUAAAACCCCUCAUAUCUUAAGAGUCAACCACACAAGUCAGUAUAGUUGUCAAAGGCAAGCCUAGGCACGAGGCACAGCUCUGUGCUCCUCAUCACCACUAAGGUGCAGCGCCAUGCUUGAGGUGCUGCCUAGCCUCAUGCAAGGUGCAAGGCUCAAGGGGCAUGAGGCGCAUUCCUUGUACAUGUAAGUAUGUUAAGAUUCUAUUUCUUGUCCAUUUGUCAUCCGAAAUCUUAUUUCUUGUUGAUUUGAUUGCAUAUUCUUGAACAUUUUCGAGAGGCAAACCUAGCAGCAUAAGUUGGAGGUCUGCUGGAGCCUGGAUCUUCCACUCGCCAGGAUCCUUUGCUAUGGGGCUUUGCUCAUUCAUCAAGGUACCUUAAUUGAGACGAUGACGUGGUGUGUUGCUCAUUUGUAUCUAGCUAAAUUAUUUAGCAUCCAAUUCUUUAUUCUUUACUAUUUCUUCUUUAGGUCUCUGUCCUCUUUGCCCGUUCUUUCUUUUCUUAUUUUUUUGCCUUUUUGAAUCGGAUUCUACUGUAUUGUGACAGUCUCUCUCGCUAUGUUCUGGUUUAAUCAGCUGAACUAGUGGUGUGUUGUUAUAUUCUUGUGUUACAUUCAUUGAAGAAAAUAGUUACUUCAACUGUUAUUGUGAA